UUGGCCAGGUAAACAUGCUCAACAGAUUCGAGCAUUUAUUUCUCAUAUUGUCCUUUACUUGAUUUCUUCUGGAAAAUUUUCUCAGCUAUAUAGAUAAGGCUGUAUCACUGGAGGGACUAUCUCCUCGGGUACCGCUAUAUAAAGUAACAGAAGGGAACGAACCAUGCUUUUUCACAACAUACUUUCCAUGGGACCAUGCUAAAGCUUCGGUUCAGGGGAACUCUUUCCAGAAAAAGGUGACAUUACUCUUCGGGAUUCGCCAUGCUAUAGAGGAAAAGUCUAAUGGGUCAAGUCAAGGGGGACCAAGACAGAGCUGAA